GUGAAUCAUCGAAUUUUUGAACGCAAAUUGCGCUUCCUGGCAUCCCGGGAAGUAUGCCUGUUUGAGGGUCAGUUUUAAUAAAAAAUCGGUUUAGUUUCAAAUUGUGACGUUUCUGGAGUUUGGGCUAUCUUAACAUUUUUGGUUAAGUGGCUUAAAAUUGACUUUUUUUGUGCAUUUUUAAACGUACAUAAAUUUUUUUUAUUUGCUUAUCCUUAAUGUUAAAAUCUUAUUAGAAGAGACAACAUCG
rnacentral:misc_RNA from 1 species